ACCAUAGGCCAUACCACCCUGAACGUACCUAAUCUCCUCUGAUCUCAGAAGCUAAGCAGGUUAGUACUAACCUGCUUGGUUAGUACUAACAGUGCAGUGGCUCACGCCUGUAAUC
rnacentral:rRNA from 1 species